AGAGUUUGAUCCUGGCUCAGAUUGAACGCUGGCGGCAUGCUUUACACAUGCAAGUCGAACGGCAGCGGGGUAGUGCUUGCACUACUGCCGGCGAGUGGCGAACGGGUGAGUAACAUAUCGGAACGUACCGAGCAGUGGGGGAUAACUAAUCGAAAGAUUAGCUAAUACCGCAUAUUUUCUGAGGAAGAAAGCAGGGGACCAUUUGGCCUUGCGCUGUUUGAGCGGCCGAUAUCUGAUUAGCUAGUUGGUGGGGUAAAGGCCUACCAAGGCGACGAUCAGUAGCGGGUCUGAGAGGAUGAUCCGCCACACUGGGACUGAGACACGGCCCAGACUCCUACGGGAGGCAGCAGUGGGGAAUUUUGGACAAUGGGCGCAAGCCUGAUCCAGCCAUGCCGCGUGUCUGAAGAAGGCCUUCGGGUUGUAAAGGACUUUUGUUAGGGAAGAAAAGGAUAGUGUUAAUACCAUUAUCUGCUGACGGUACCUAAAGAAUAAGCACCGGCUAACUACGUGCCAGCAGCCGCGGUAAUACGUAGGGUGCGAGCGUUAAUCGGAAUUACUGGGCGUAAAGCGAGCGCAGACGGUUACUUAAGCAGGAUGUGAAAUCCCCGGGCUUAACCUGGGAACUGCGUUCUGAACUGGGUAGCUAGAGUAUGUCAGAGGGGGGUAGAAUUCCACGUGUAGCAGUGAAAUGCGUAGAGAUGUGGAGGAAUACCGAUGGCGAAGGCAGCCUCCUGGGAUAACACUGACGUUCAUGCCCGAAAGCGUGGGUAGCAAACAGGAUUAGAUACCCUGGUAGUCCACGCCCUAAACGAUGUCGAUUAGCUGUUGGGCAGCAUGACUGCUUAGUAGCGAAGCUAACGCGUGAAAUCGACCGCCUGGGGAGUACGGUCGCAAGAUUAAAACUCAAAGGAAUUGACGGGGACC
rnacentral:rRNA from 1 species